CUCAUCUGCACAGUGCAAUGGGUGGAGCGUAUCCAUGGGUUACCGGACGGGACAAGGGUGCAGGAGCAAGCAGAGUAACCCUCUAGACCUUUUUUAAAGGAAAGACAAGCCAACUGCUGGUCUACAUUUACUUAAUGAAGAACAAAAACACCUCUGUCCAGGUUGGCAACAGUGGCAGAUGUCUUUUCCACUAACGUACCCCGUGGACGAUAUGAUACAUGGCUGGCAUCGACUCCCCCAACCUGGGACGGUUGACCUUCGGGCCUUCCUGGACUCUGAGCAGCGGAGGAGAGAUCUGGAUGUCAGUCUGGCUCAGGUCCAAAAUGCCCUGCAGGAACAGAGGGUCAGAAUGCUCCAGAGAAUGGGCCCAGGGAGCCGACAUAAACUACCCCAGAUACUUGUUUUGAAUCUUGGGCAGAUCAAUCGACCAGUAAACCUCCAUCCUAGUCUGUUAUCAGAGAACAUCUACAUCCCACCAUAUGGUGACCUUUACACAAGAGUGGGCAGGCUAGAGAUUGACUCAGAGAUCAUUAGCGCCCAACUGGACCAGGUUCUCUGUUCUAGGGGAAGGUGUCUCUACAGGAAUGGACCCUCACCCCAACAGGACAGCUUGACUCCUUGUCAGAGGGAGGACCAUAGUAUGACCUCUCAGCUUAUUGCUCAAGCAGUGGACAAAGGACAACUUCUGAAAGAGCGAGACAACCUUGAGCGUCUGCUGGAGGAAUCCAGGGCCCAGCAGCAGCUGAUGGAGCAGAAGAGGGAGGCCCAGAUAGCAGCCCUUCACUCCCAGCUGUACCAGGCACGCUCCAGCCUCCAGGAGACCCACAGAGAGACACUGGCCACACAGGCAGAGCUACAUGGCAGCAAGCAGAUAAAUGAGUCCCUGCUACAGGAGGUGGCGUCUCUCAGACGGAGGCCCGGGGCUGCGGAGGAGCGGGCCUCCCUGAUGGAGAGUGACGGACGCCUGCUCAGGGCUCGCAUAGCAGCACUGGAGACUGAGCGGGAGGAGCUGCUUCAACAAGGAGACCUCGCCACAGGGAGACGACGCUCCUCAGCCUUUGGGACGGAGAGAAGGGGCUGGGAUUGGUCGAUCGCUGGAAUCCAUGGCAGCACGAGCCAAUAGAAGCCAAUCAAAUGACGGCGCUGGUCAUAGAGCUGCAGCAGCUGAGAACGGCCUGUGAAGAGACAUCAUCAACACUACCGGUCUCCCCCAAGGACCAGAGGGCCAGAGAGUGGAUGUGAAAGAGCUGCUCUGCUCGAGGACUGUGUGGGGGAGAUGGAUUGGGAGGGGCUGGCUUUCCUGGAGAGAGACUGUGGAGUUCUUCGGGUGGUACCUCCAGGAUCAUUGGCAAGAAGUAACCCACCACAUUCACACUGAUCCUUGACUAUGUAGGCCCACAUUUCCAUAUUCUCCACAAUCAUGUACGCUUUCUUUUACAAAAACACGUCUGUUUGCGUAUGCAAUAAAUUAUGUCUGAAUCAAAACGGCAGGAAGCGAUCCGCUGAGGCCCUGCGUAUUAAAUUGUGGUCUCAAGUACGUCCUCAAGAACUCCUUUCAUGUUUACCUGACAUCAAUCACCCGCAUUGUGAACUGUGUACAACAUUUAGUUUGUCAGUUUAAAAUAAAUAUUGGACUGACUCUAAUACAACUCCACUAUCCCUAGGCCUUUAUGGGUAUACCAGUUGGACAGACAAAUACCCCUCAAGGAUCUCACCCCCUCCUAUCCUUUACUUGUGUUAUGCCUGUACACAAGCUUAGUUGGAAAAAGGCAGGUAUUUUUCAGGCUCCAUUGUAUAGGCUAACCUGUCAAAACAUAUUCCAAAGAUUACACAAUUUACAGUUGGCCUGCAUGCACAUUUUGUCUAAACAGCGAACAAAUAUUUACUGUGGCUGGGUGUGUGGAGGAAUUAGUCACUUCCUUGAAUGGGUCUUGCUCAAUGUUAGACCUAAUGGUCAUUGCAUACUGUGUGGUUUGCUCUUGUGAUUGGUUUGAUACCCCUCCCUCACAGUACAGGAGGUGAUUUCCUGCAUACUUUCAUCAUCUGAGUCUGACUUGCCUGUACAUCACAGCUAGCAAAUGUAAAUUAUGGUGGUGUGCCCUUUUGUGGACAAGUUAUUCAUUUUUUUAUUAAUCAAUGUGACUUCUUAAUCAAUACAGUUAAAUUACUUCUUUAUUUCACAUAAAAUAAGAAUAGAGUAGAUAUUAUCAAUCAAGGACAUUGUCCUUGCUCAUGGGUACAAAAUAUGUAAAAUAAAUGAUCAGCGUAGGUGUUGACUGCUGUGAUUGUUCACACUGGGGUCAAAAUCCCCUUCAACUGCUAAGAUCAAACGACUUGACCCACACGUGCCAGUUCAUCCCCACCACCAUCUCAAAGGGGACAUUUUUUUUCUUCCCCCAGAUCCUUGGCUAUCUCACUCUGGGGUGCCAGCAGCCUGAAUGGCAAGAGGACCAUUACUAUUUAGAACCAGGGGUUGUGUUGAGCGGCGCAACUUUACAAAAUGGAGGAAGACUAGUGACAUCAAACUUUUAAAUUGAAUGACCUGCUGUUCAAGUUAAAAGGUCAUGCCACCUGGAGGUAUAAAGAGGCGUUUGUGACAAUACUGACCUGCACAUUUGGUCUAUUCCUCUUGGUAUGUCCCUCGUAGGAGAGUGACGCUUGCUCACUCCCCCCUUCCCCCCUAAAUUCACCUUGACGAUGUCACCUGACUUGGCAGUUACGAUGCCAAACUCUUUCCCCUUUCGCUGGAACAUACUGGGAGAGAAAAUAAGCAGUGAAUCCACACUUGAGUAGAACCGUGUAACAUAGGUUAGUACAUAAUGGAGCAGGCAUAAACGGUUCAUUCUGGUCAUUUAAAAAAAAUUGACUAGUCUUAGUCGUUUUGACUAAAAUAUUAAGUCUGUCACAUUUUUGUCAUGAAUAAUGAUUUAGUC
rnacentral:lncRNA from 1 species